rnacentral:rRNA from 1 species
AGUGAACGCUGGCGGUAGGCCUAACACAUGCAAGUCGAACGGCAGCACAGUAAGAGCUUGCUCUUACGGGUGGCGAGUGGCGGACGGGUGAGGAAUACAUCGGAAUCUACUUUUUCGUGGGGGAUAACGUAGGGAAACUUACGCUAAUACCGCAUACGACCUACGGGUGAAAGCAGGGGAUCUUCGGACCUUGCGCGAUUGAAUGAGCCGAUGUCGGAUUAGCUAGUUGGCGGGGUAAAUGCCCACCAAGGCGACGAUCCGUAGCUUGUCUGAGAGGAUGAUAGGCCACACGAGAACGUAGACACGGUCCAGACUCCUACGGGAGGCAGCAGUGGGGAAUAUUGGACAAUGGGCGCAAGCCUGAUACAGCCAUACCGCGUGGGUGAAGAAGGCCUUCGGGUUGUAAAGCCCUUUUGUUGGGAAAGAAAAGCAGCAGGUUAAUACCCCGCUGUUCUGACGGUACCCAAAGAAUAAGCACCGGCUAACUUCGUG